GGUUCAGUGGAGCAUCAAAGCGGAAUCACAAUGCGCACGACAGGGAGAUGUUUUCAGCUGCAAGCUUUUUCAGGACUGAGUUGCAAAAUUUAAAACCCAUCAAGUUCGUUAUGCGCAGGCUGGAUUACGUGAGUGGUCUGAGAGUGGCUAAGGUCAUCCGGAGGGAACUAGGCUUUGCCCAGAGAAUACAUGAGGGCUGAGAAGGAGAUAGAGUGAAUGGAGAAUCUUCAGUAGAGUCUCCAGACUGGGGGAAGCUGCUGAAUAUUCACCUCGAAGGUUGAUGCUGAGGCCCCGGGCCCUUGCUCUGUGAAUCCUGCUGCACUCUUUGGAAGCGCCCUGGCUGGAGGACGGUGCUCUGCAAGGAGGGCUCAAAGAAGCUGUGACAAGUUCCCUCUCCUCUUAUCACUCUCAUAGAGGUGAAAUCUUCUCUACGCUUCCUCCACAACCAUUACUACCACAACUAUUCAGUACUACAGAUAUUAAAAGUGCUAUAAAGAGCAGUAGCCUCACCCCUUGACCAGUCACUGAAUGAAGCUAGUCAGUGAAUCCAAGGGGCCUUUGGCAGAAACAUGCAGCACUUUUUCCAGCCACUUUGGUGAUGAGCAUGCCGCCUUCAUGCUAGCCAGUUUUCUGGUCCACGUUUACUUUUUGUUCUCCCACUUGUUGAGCUGGCUCCUACUAAGGAAAGUACCCAGGGAGCAUGCCACAGCAGCAGCAGGUAUUGUAUGAUUAGCGUUGUGCAAAAAUUGUAACCAGCAGUAUUCAACAAAAGUGAUUAUUUUUUAUUUUUUAAAGGUUCAAGACUCUGCUCUUGCCAAAUGAGUAUUAAAUAAUUGAAAGAUUCACCAUUUGUCCCACAUGAGUUGUGAUUAAAAUCUAUUGGCUGACAGAAAUAUGAAAAAAAAAAAUUUUUCCCCCUAGCUUUAGAAUCAAAUUUAUACACCAAUUCAACUGAAUACUCUCCCAAAGACAGUGGGGUUUAUCAUUUAAUAAAAUCUAAUUCUAGUAAUAGUAAGAAUGCUUGAGAACAACAUAUACCAUUGUUAUUGUCAUGUUACUUCUCAUGUUUAAAAGCCAUUAGGUUAAUUUUCAACAUAUUUAUGUUUCAACAAAUGUAAGUUAAUAUAUUCUUUUAAAAAUAUAUAUAAAAAUUUUAAAAAUUAAAAAAUAAUAUAA